CCAAAGUCACAGGCCCCUUCGUGAUGUGUGAGAGGGAAACAGCUUUUUCGCAAAAGACGGAAAUCGGAAACAUCAGGGAAGCAGCCCAACAGCAUAUCAUCUGAGAAAAGGACAGAAAACACACAAUCCUGCAUAAGACGAGGGUCACAAGCAGG